rfam:Myotis lucifugus cont2.5216, whole genome shotgun sequence.
GUGAGGGGCUGGGCGACCGGAGGAAGGGCAGAUGGGGAACGCGUGCCCCAAGAGCGAAGACAAACAGCUGUGGAGACUCUUCCCCGAGGCUCAGCCUUCCCACAGCGAGACGGGGACCCACCCGGCAUCUCGCAGGAAAGCGGGGAGGGUGGGGGAAGGCUGAGCGGAGAGGGAGAAAGCCUCACCAGAGGACAGAGGGAGGGAGGAAGGCAU